rnacentral:rRNA from 1 species
AGCGAACGCUGGCGGCAGGCUUAACACAUGCAAGUCGAACGGGCACUUCGGUGUCAGUGGCAGACGGGUGAGUAACACGUGGGAACGUACCUUUUGGUUCGGAACAACUGAGGGAAACUUCAGCUAAUACCGGAUAAGCCCUUACGGGGAAAGAUUUAUCGCCGAAAGAUCGGCCCGCGUCUGAUUAGCCAGUUGGUAGGGUAAUGGCCUACCAAGGCGACGAUCAGUAGCUGGUCUGAGAGGAUGAUCAGCCACAUUGGGACUGAGACACGGCCCAAACUCCUUCGGGAGGCAGCAGUGGGGAAUAUUGGACAAUGGGGGCAACCCUGAUCCAGCCAUGCCGCGUGAGUGAUGAAGGCCCUAGGGUUGUAAAGCUCUUUUGUGCGGGAAGAUAAUGACGGUACCGCAAGAAUAAGCCCCGGCUAACUUCGUGCCAGCAGCCGCCGUAA